AGCUGCCUGCCUCUUCCAAAAGUCGAACGCACAGCGAAAGGUGCUUGCACCUUUCAAGUGAGUGGCGAACGGGUGAGUAACACGUGGACAACCUGCCUCAAGGCUGGGGAUAACAUUUGGAAACAGAUGCUAAUACCGAAUAAAACUUAGUGUCGCAUGACACAAAGUUAAAAGGCGCUUCGGCGUCACCUAGAGAUGGAUCCGCGGUGCAUUAGUUAGUUGGUGGGGUAAAGGCCUACCAAGACAAUGAUGCAUAGCCGAGUUGAGAGACUGAUCGGCCACAUUGGGACUGAGACACGGCCCAAACUCCUACGGGAGGCUGCAGUAGGGAAUCUUCCACAAUGGGCGAAAGCCUGAUGGAGCAACGCCGCGUGUGUGAUGAAGGCUUUCGGGUCGUAAAGCACUGUUGUAUGGGAAGAACAGCUAGAAUAGGAAAUGAUUUUAGUUUGACGGUACCAUACCAGAAAGGGACGGCUAAAUACGUGCCAGCAGCCGCGGUAAUACGUAUGUCCCGAGCGUUAUCCGGAUUUAUUGGGCGUAAAGCGAGCGCAGACGGUUUAUUAAGUCUGAUGUGAAAGCCCGGAGCUCAACUCCGGAAUGGCAUUGGAAACUGGUUAACUUGAGUGCAGUAGAGGUAAGUGGAACUCCAUGUGUAGCGGUGGAAUGCGUAGAUAUAUGGAAGAACACCAGUGGCGAAGGCGGCUUACUGGACUGCAACUGACGUUGAGGCUCGAAAGUGUGGGUAGCAAACAGGAUUAGAUACCCUGGUAGUCCACACCGUAAACGAUGAACACUAGGUGUUAGGAGGUUUCCGCCUCUUAGUGCCGAAGCUAACGCAUUAAGUGUUCCGCCUGGGGAGUACGACCGCAAGGUUGAAACUCAAAGGAAUUGACGGGGACCCGCACAAGCGGUGGAGCAUGUGGUUUAAUUCGAAGCACGCGAA
rnacentral:rRNA from 1 species